AGACAACUGAUUAGAAAGACAGAAGAAAAUCAAGAAUUCAGAAGUGACAGAGAAACUCACAGUGAUUGUCAUCGGGGAAGAAGCCAUGGAGAAACACAUGGACAUUUCUCUGCAAUGUUUGUAGUUUCAAGACAAGUGUCGAUAACCUCAGCAGCAGUUACUCGAUGGAGAAGAUUCUGGAUGCUAUCCACCCAUGUCUGCUUAUCAGCCUUGCUCUUGCACUUGAACUUUGUUAGACCUUUCCCUGUACUAAUUCCGAAAUAGAGCUCUUCUUCUGUGUUUUCCAUUUCUUUUCCAUUUUGCAGGCCUGAGACUUUCUCGCGUACAUCAUUUACAAUGCCUGUAGUGAUUCAACCACUGGAUUAUUGUAAAGCAUUGGACAAAGUUUCAAGAUCACUCUGGUUAUACAAAUGAACACCAUGAACAUUGAAAGAAAGAAGAGUAGCUUACUAACCUUUGCUUUUCAUGGAGAAUGCUCCUACAACAUGUUUGCUUUUGAUUUCUACUACGACCUGCAAAAAAGAAAACGAGCAAAAGUCAACUCUAGAAUCCAACCAGCAUAUAGUUUUUUUGCUCCAA